GCCGCUGCUAAAGCGGAGGAGGGAAUGGGCAACGGUAGGUCAGUAUGCCCCGAAUAUCCCGGGCUACACGCGAGCUACAAUGGUUGGUACAAUGGGUAUCUACCCCGAAAGGGACGGGAAUCUCCUAAAACCAAUCUUAGUUCGGAUUGAGGGCCGCAACUCGCCCUCAUGAAGCUGGAAUCCGUAGUAAUCGCGUUUCAACAGAACGCGGUGAAUACGUCCCUGCUCCUU
rnacentral:rRNA from 1 species